rnacentral:rRNA from 1 species
AAUUAAUAUAACAAAACUGUUCGCCAGAGAACUACUAGCAAUAGCCUGAAACUCAAAGGACUUGGCGGUGCUUUAUAUCCCUCUAGAGGAGCCUGUCCUAUAAUCGAUAAACCCCGAUAAACCUCACCGUUCCUAGCUAAUUCAGUCUAUAUACCGCCAUCUUCAGCAAACCCUUAAAAGGAGUACAAGUAAGCACAAUCAUAAGACAUAAAAAAGUUAGGUCAAGGUGUAACCCAUGGAACGGGAAGAAAUGGGCUACAUUUUCUUUAGCAAGAAUAUCCUCACGAAAGACUUUAUGAAAUUAAAGACCGAAGGAGGAUUUAGCAGUAAAUUAAGAAUAGAGAGCUUAAUUGAAUGGGGCCAUGAAGCGCGCACACACCGCCCGUCACCCUCCUCAAGUAACUACAUCAAAAUAUAACAUAUUAACAUUUAUUCACACAAGAGGAGACAAGUCGUAACAAGGUAAGCGUACUGGAAAGUGCGCUUGGCUUAAC